GUGAGGAAUAUUGCGCAAUGGAGGCAACUCUGACCCAGCCAUGCCGCGUGCAGGAAGACGGUCCUCUGGAUUGUAAACUGCUUUUGAAUGGGAAGAAACGUAGCUUUGCGAAGCUAUUUGACGGUACUAUUAGAAUAAGCACCGGCUAACUCCGUGCCAGCAGCCGCGGUAAUACGGAGGGUGCAAGCGUUAUCCGGAUUUAUUGGGUUUAAAGGGUGCGUAGGCGGCUUUAUAAGUCUGGGGUUAAAGGCGGCAGCUUAACUGUACGCAUGCCCUGGAAACUGUGAAGCUUGAGUGACUUGGAGGUAGCUAGAAUUCCCUGUGUAGCGGUGAAAUGCAUAGAUACGGGGAGGAAUACCGAUUGCGAAGGCAUGUUACUACGAGUAAACUGACGCUGAUGCACGAAAGCGUGGGGAUCAAACAGGAUUAGAUACCCUAGUAGUCC
rnacentral:rRNA from 1 species